rnacentral:rRNA from 1 species
AACGAACGCUGGCGGCAGGCCUAACACAUGCAAGUCGAACGCCCUGGCAACAGGGAGUGGCAGACGGGUGAGUAACGCGUGGGAACGUGCCCUUCGGCUCGGAAUAACUCAGGGAAACUUGAGCUAAUACCAAAUACGUGCAAGAGCAGGAAGAUUUAUCGCCGAAGGAUCGGCCCGCGUCCGCUUAGCUAGUUGGUGAGGUAAUGGGUCACCAAGGCGACGAUCGGUAGCUGGUCUGAGAGGAUGAUCAGCCACACUGGGACUGAGACACGGCCCAGACUCCUACGGGAGGCUGCAGUGGGGAAUAUUGGACAAUGGGCGCAAGCCUGAUCCAGCCAUGCCGCGUGAGUGAUGAAGGCCCUAGGGUUGUAAAGCUCUUUCGCCAGGGACGAUAAUGACGGUACCUGGAUAAGAAGCCCCGGCUAACUUCGUGCCAGCAGCCGCCGUAA